AUGAACGCUAGCUACAGGCUUAACACAUGCAAGUCGAGGGGCAGCAUAUAGAUAGCUUGCUAUCUGUGAUGGCGACCGGCGCACGGGUGAGUAACGCGUAUCCAACCUGGCCCAUAGUAGGGAACAGCCCGGCGAAAGUCGGAUUAAUGCCCUAUGUUGUUUGAAGCGGACAUCUAAUUCAAACCAAAGAUUCAUCGCUAUGGGAUGGGGAUGCGUCUGAUUAGGUUGUUGGCGGGGUAACGGCCCACCAAGCCAUCGAUCAGUAGGGGUUCUGAGAGGAAGGUCCCCCACACUGGUACUGAGACACGGACCAGACUCCUACGGGAGGCAGCAGUGAGGAAUAUUGGUCAAUGGGCGUGAGCCUGAACCAGCCAAGUAGCGUGCAAGGAUGACGGCCCUACGGGUUGUAAACUGCUUUUAUGCGGGGAUAAAGUGUGGGACGCGUCCCACAUUGCAGGUACCGCAUGAAUAAGGACCGGCUAAUUCCGUGCCAGCAGCCGC
rnacentral:rRNA from 1 species